AUUGAACGCUGGCGGCAUGCUUUACACAUGCAAGUCGAACGGUAACAGGCCGCAAGGUGCUGACGAGUGGCGAACGGGUGAGUAAUGCAUCGGAACGUGCCCAGUCGUGGGGGAUAACUACUCGAAAGAGUAGCUAAUACCGCAUACGAUCUAUGGAUGAAAGCGGGGGACCGUAAGGCCUCGCGCGAUUGGAGCGGCCGAUGUCAGAUUAGGUAGUUGGUGGGGUAAAGGCUCACCAAGCCAACGAUCUGUAGCUGGUCUGAGAGGACGACCAGCCACAGGGGGAGUGAAGCAGGCGCGAGAGCCGUAGGGGGGAGAAGUGGGGGAGAUGUGGGAAAGGGGGCAAGAGCGUACGCAACAAAGGCCGGGAGAGAAAAAAAGGCUUGGGGGUUGAAAAUUUGUUUUGACAGGAGAAAAAGGGUUCUGGGUAAAACCGGGGGCUAAGGGGGGAAAGGAUAAAAAAAGCACCGGCAAACAAGGG
rnacentral:rRNA from 1 species